rnacentral:rRNA from 1 species
UCGGGAAUAUUGCGCAAUGGAGGAAACUCUGACGCAGUGACGCCGCGUAUAGGAAGAAGGUUUUCGGAUUGUAAACUAUUGUCGUUAGGGAAGAAAAAAGACAGUACCUAAGGAGGAAGCUCCGGCUAACUACGUGCCAGCAGCCGCGGUAAUACGUAGGGAGCAAGCGUUAUCCGGAUUUAUUGGGUGUAAAGGGUGCGUAGACGGGCGAUCAAGUUAGUUGUGAAAUCCCUCGGCUCAACUGAGGAACUGCAACUAAACCUGGUUGUCUUGAGUGCAGGAGAGGUAAGUGGAAUUCCUAGUGUAGCGGUGAAAUGCGUAGAUAUUAGGAGGAACACCAGUGGCGAAGGCGACUUACUGGACUGUAACUGACGUUGAGGCACGAAAGUGUGGGGAGCAAACAGGAUUAGAUACC